UACGUAGGGUGCGAGCGUUGUCCGGAAUUAUUGGGCGUAAAGGGCUCGUAGGCGGUUUGUCGCGUCGGGAGUGAAAACCCAGGGCUUAACCCUGGGCUGGCUUCCGAUACGGGCAGACUAGAGGUAUGCAGGGGAGAACGGAAUUCCUGGUGUAGCGGUGAAAUGCGCAGAUAUCAGGAGGAACACCGGUGGCGAAGGCGGUUCUCUGGGCAGUAACUGACGCUGAGGAGCGAAAGCGUGGGGAGCGAACAGG
rnacentral:rRNA from 1 species